UUGUACAGGUGCUGCAUGGCUGUCGUCAGCUCGUGUCGUGAGAUGUUCGGUUAAGUCCGCUAACGAGCGCAACCCUCGCUGUGUGUUACAAGUGUCACACGGAACUGCCGGUCAUAAACCGGAGGAAGGUGGGGAUGACGUCAAGUCAGCAUGGCCUUUAUAUCCUGGGCUACACACACGCUACAAUGGGAAGGGACAAUAGGUUGCGAAGCCGCGAGGCGGAGCCAAUCCAGCAAAACUUCCCUCAGUUCAGAUUGCAGGCUGCAACCCGCCUGCAUGAAGUUGGAGUUGCUAGUAAACGCAGGUCAGCCAUACUGCGUUGAAUACGUUCCCGGGGCUU
rnacentral:rRNA from 1 species